rnacentral:rRNA from 1 species
GACGAGGGGUGCAAGCGUUAUUCGGAUUGAUUGGGCGUAAAGGGUGCGCAGGUGGUGUGUUAAGUCAACCGUUAAAUUUCCCGGCCUAACUGGGAGCAAGCGGUAGAUACUGGCACGCUUGAGGGUAGAAGAGAGGAGUGGAAUUCUCGGAGUAGCGGUAAAAUGCGUAGAUCUCGAGAGGAACACCGAUGGCGAAGGCAGCUCCUUGGUCUACUUCUGACACUCAUGCACGAAAGCGCGGGGAGCAAACAGG